CCUCUUUGCUGGCGACCGGCGCACGGGUGAGUAACACGUAUCCAACCUGCCCUUUACUCGGGGAUAGCCUUUCGAAAGAAAGAUUAAUACCCGAUAGCAUAAUGAUUCCGCAUGGUUUCAUUAUUAAAGGAUUCCGGUAAAGGAUGGGGAUGCGUUCCAUUAGGUUGUUGGUGGGGUAACGGCCCACCAAGCCUUCGAUGGAUAGGGGUUCUGAGAGGAAGGUCCCCCACAUUGGAACUGAGACACGGUCCAA
rnacentral:rRNA from 1 species